GUUACCGCCCCGAUACUGGCAACAGGAAGGGGGUGUACAUAUGGAGAUCAUCUUAUCCUUUAUCGUCGCUGUCGCGGCUGGUGUAGCCUGCCACUACAUCAUCAAAUGGCUGGAUGGCGACAAAUAACCGGUAACCAGCCUGUAGAUGUCUGACUACUUAAAACAGGAAAAAGCCCAGGAGCUCGCACCUCCUGGGCUUUUGCUGUGUAUC
rnacentral:sRNA from 1 species